rnacentral:rRNA from 1 species
AUUGAACGCUGGCGGCAGGCCUAACACAUGCAAGUCGAACGAGUCGCGCACGGGUGUGAUAUGUCUGGGACUCUCCCUGAUGGAGGGGUAUAACCACUGAACACUAUAUCUAACACCACAUACCAUCAUAUGUGCCCAGAUGGGAUUAGCUUGUUGGUGGGGUAACGGCGCACAAAGGCGACGCUCCCUAGCUGGUCUGAGAGGAUGACCAGCCACACUGGAACUGAGACACGGUCCAGACUCCUACGGGAGGCAGCAGUGGGGAAUAUUGCACAAUGGGCGCAAGCCUGAUGCAGCCAUGCCGCGUGUAUGAAGAAGGCCUUCGGGUUGUAAAGUACUUUCAGCGGGGAGGCGUUACCCGCAGAAGAAGCACCGGCUAACUCCGUGCCAGCAGCCGCGGUAAUUC